rnacentral:rRNA from 1 species
UACGAAGGGGGCUAGCGUUGCUCGGAAUCACUGGGCGUAAAGCGCUCGUAGGCGGAUCUUUAAGUCAGGGGUGAAAUCCUGGAGCUCAACUCCAGAACUGCCUUUGAUACUGGGGAUCUCGAGUCCGGGAGAGGUGAGUGGAACUCCGAGUGUAGAGGUGAAAUUCGUAGAUAUUCGCAAGAACACCAGUGGCGAAGGCGGCUCACUGGCCCGAUACUGACGCUGAGGCACGAAAGCGUGGGGAGCAAACAGG